CAAGUUUCUGUUCAGACCCAAAAUAAUAACAAGGUCUGACAGUUUUUGCCAGGAUUUUUCUGCCCAGCAACUGCAUUCACAUUGGAAAAAUGGAGCAACUUAAGUAAAUAAGUCUGGAACUCAGAGGGCUUCUUGAAGCUUGCUCGUGUCCAUCUCCCAGACUCUUGCUGCUGAGUCACAUGGAUUUCCUACAAGGGCAGAAGAGCAGAGCUGCACUGCUUUACUAUGCCAACUCCUAUAGCUCUCCUAUUGCAAUCAGCCUUCCCAGCAUAAAGUCAACGUUACUAGAAAAGGCAAAAGGAGAUCCUACCAGAAAUAAUUUCUACACAGAGACAUUACUACUCAAAGGAUUAAAAAACUGCUGCUACAACUUCUGCUUAGCCGAGAACACUCCUCUUAUUCAGGAAGAGCUUGUGUGUGGAUGCAGGUAAGAAAUAAAGCCAAUGAGGAACCUGAAGGUGGGGAUUUCUUGGCUGCUUGAACACAGUUGUAUGGUUUCAUG